rnacentral:rRNA from 1 species
AACGAACGCUGGCGGCAUGCCUAACACAUGCAAGUCGAACGAGACCUUCGGGUCUAUUGGCGCACGGGUGCGUAACGCGUGGUAACCUGCCCUUAGGUUCGGAAUAACUCCCCGAAAGGGGUGCUAAUACCGGUUAAUGUCUUCGGACCUAAGAUUUACCGCCUUUGGAUGGGCCCGCGUUGGAUUAGCUAGUUGGUAGGGUAAAAGCCUACCAAGGCGACGAUCCAUAGCUGGUCUGAGAGGAUGAUCAGCCACACUGGGACUGAGACACGGCCCAGACUCCUACGGGAGGCAGCAGUGGGGAAUAUUGGACAAUGGGCGAAAGCCUGAUCCAGCAAUGCCGCGUGAGUGAUGAAGGCCUUAGGGUUGUAAAGCUCUUUUACCCGGGAUGAUAAUGACAGUACCGGGAGAAUAAGCACCGGCUAACUCCGUG